GCAAACUUGGUCAUUUAGAGGAAGUAAAAGUCGUAACAAGGUCUCCGUUGGUGAACCAGCGGAGGGAUCAUUACAGAGUUGCAAAACUCCCACAAACCAUCGCGAAUCUUACCCGUACGGUUGCCUCGGCGCUGGCGGUCCGGAAAGGCCUUCGGGCCCUCCCGGAUCCUCGGGUCUCCCGCUCGCGGGAGGCUGCCCGCCGGAGUGCCGAAACUAAACUCUUGAUAUUUUAUGUCUCUCUGAGUAAACUUUUAAAUAAGUCAAAACUUUCAACAACGGAUCUCUUGGUUCUGGCAUCGAUGAAGAACGCAGC
rnacentral:misc_RNA from 1 species